rnacentral:piRNA from 1 species
UCCNGGACCUACACUGACUCAUGAUAGGCU